GGCGGACGGGUGAGUAAUGUCUGGGAAACUGCCCGAUGGAGGGGGAUAACUACUGGAAACGGUAGCUAAUACCGCAUAACGUCGCAAGACCAAAGAGGGGGACCUUAGGGCCUCUUGCCAUCGGAUGUGCCCAGAUGGGAUUAGCUAGUAGGUGGGGUAACGGCUCACCUAGGCGACGAUCCCUAGCUGGUCUGAGAGGAUGACCAGCCACACUGGAACUGAGACACGGUCCAG
rnacentral:rRNA from 1 species